GCACCGUUCCACUUUUAUUUUACUCCAUGAAGGAAGGACUACAAAAUGGGGAAGGUUUGAUACAGGGCAGCCAUUAUCCCUUGAGCAUACCAGCACAUACACAGGAGCCCUACCCAGUUGGCAUGACAACCUUGAUGGUCCCAGACAGAAGACCAUCAAGGUCACAAAGGACUUGCAUAUGGGAGUGGAUUCAACACGGACUAGAACAAAGGACAAUGAUCAGAUCUUCCCUCUGGGGGCAGGAAACUGCCAACUCCCCUUUGUCCUCUCGAAAUGACUCAUGGGGAGGGGGAAAGGAGGAACCAGCGAGGUGACAAGAUAUUCAGGUUACCUCCACAACUCCUCCCUCAACCCCUCCUUUUUGUGAUGUGUCAAUGAUGUAGUCAUGAUGUAGUUGUGAUGUAGUUCUAGGGGUGUAGUUUGGGGGAUUAGUAACUGAUAAAAGUUGGGGUCUUCUUUUGUUCUGGGCUUCCAUUUUGUUUCACCUGGUGGCAGGUGGGAGUCCUGUCGCGAUAGUCUUAAAUAGCCUACUGGCUGCUGUUUUGCUCUGAUAGUUCUGGCUGGUGUCCUUGUUUUUUUUGUCCAAGGGAGCCCUCAGAUUCCUCCGUUAACACCCUAAACAUUAUUUUUAGAAGGAAGGAAAGCGCUGAGUAAGGGAAUAUAUAGAAAGCCUUUUUCUUUUCUUUUCUUUUCUUUGUGGUUUUUAAUUCUGAAAAUGCAAAGACGGUGGGUUUUUUUAGAGGAAGGUAUUUACAUAGGGUUUUUGAAUAUCAUGGUUGUAUGCAAAAUAAUUUUUAAUUAAAUUUUUUCUAAGCCACACAGAAAACCUCGUGCUACGCAGCAGCAUGCAAAUGCCAACAACACAAUUAAAGGAAGAGGAAGUAAAGAGGAAUAAAUUUCACACUGUGACAUAAUGAGCACAUGAUAAUCUGUUCCCCCUUACAUGAUUUUGGUUAUUUUUGCUACGGAUUUGCAAAUGCCAAAAGAGGAGGCUUGCAACAACAACACAGUGAAAAUUUCUGGGACUUCACACAGAGCAGACACUGUCCACAGCUGGACUGACGGUUGUGUAUUUAGUGGCUUCACUGCUUCUCCGGUUAAGUUUUUUUAUUGCUGUUUUGGGGAAACAGCUAUAAAAAAUACCAACAGAAUAAACCGAGUCCUCUUAAAGGAACUCUCUUGACCCUUACCCACCCAUAGAAGGCAUGCCACUUUGAGUUACUUGGGGGGAAAGUUCAGGAAAAUUGGUCAGCAUUUUGGUUCCCGUGGGUGGCGCUGUGGGUUAAACCACAGAGCCUAGGACUUGCCGAUCAGAAGGUCGGCGGUUUGAAUGCCCGUGACGGGGUGAGCUCCUGUUGCUCGGUCCCUGCUCCUGCCAACCUAGCAGUUCGAAAGCACGUCAAA